rnacentral:rRNA from 1 species
UACAGAGGUCUCAAGCGUUGUUCGGAUUCAUUGGGCGUAAAGGGUGCGUAGGCGGUGAGGUAAGUCUGGUGUGAAAUCCCGGAGCUCAACUCCGGAACUGCACUGGAUACUGCCUUACUUGAGCACUGGAGAGGGAACUGGAAUUACGGUGUAGCAGUGAAAUGCGUAGAUAUCGUAAGGAAGACCAGCGGCGAAGGCGAGUUCCUGGACAGUUGCUGACGCUGAGGCACGAAGGCCAGGGAGCAAACGGG